GCUGAGUUGGCCUGUACUGGGUUGGGCUGAGCUAAAGUGGGUUCAGCUAGUUGGUUUGGUCUGGCUGAAUCAGGCUUCAGCGAGUCAAGCAGGGCGUACCGUUUUGCUAGGUCCAGUGGCCAAGGUCAGUGAGGCUACCUUGAGUGGGACUGAGCAGGUACGACAAGCCUGGCUGGCAGGCUGAGCCAAACGGAGCUGAAGGAUUCUGGUGGAAUUUGUGGACUGAACUCAGAUGAGUUAGCCUGCUUGAAAUCGGGUCUGCUGGGCUGACGUGGGCCAGGCCGGACCAAGGCGGACUCCCGUGACCUGAGCUGGUCUGAAUCAGCAGACCUAGUGAGGCUGGGUGUGGAGCGGGUUUGUAUCACUGCUCUCAGCCGUCCUGACGCGAGGCCACGUGGACUGGUCGGUCUCACUGGACUGAGUGGGCAGCGUGGACGAUGAGCUGGGGUCUGGGCUCCGGGCAGGAGUCACCACGUGGGGGAGUGGGGGAGGACUGAUCUGGGCUCUGCUAUGAAUGGGGCCUGGAGUCGGGCUCCCUGGAGCCUCCGCAGGUCAGGACACGAGUCAGACACCUCUGCUCCCCAAGAACCCCCCGUUCCUGCCACUCAGGGCUGCGGGCAGGGUGUCCUGGCCAAAGCCUCCGUCCAGGCCCCCCUCGUCUUCCCCUUGGCCACCUGCUGCAAAGGCACCAUCGCCACCGCCCCGUCCGUGACACUGGGCUGCCUGGUCACGGGCUACUUCCCGAUGCCGGUGACUGUGACCUGGGAUGCAGGGUCCCUGAACAAGAGCGUCGUGACCCUCCCCGCCACCCUCCAGGAGACCUCUGGCCUCUACACCACCACCAGCCACGUGACCGUCUCGGGCGAGUGGGCCAAACAGAAGUUCACCUGCAGCGUGGCUCACGCGGAGUCCCCCACCAUCAACAAGACCGUCAGUGCGUGUGCCAUGAACUUCAUUCCCCCCACCGUGAAGCUCUUCCACUCCUCGUGUAACCCCCUCGGUGACACCAGUAGCACCAUCCAGCUCCUGUGCCUCAUCUCCGGCUACGUCCCAGGUGACAUGGAGGUCACCUGGCUGGUGGAUGGGCAGAAGGCCACGAACAUAUUCCCAUACACUGCCCCCGGCAAGCAGGAGGGCAAGGUGACCUCCACCCACAGCGAGCUCAACAUCACGCAGGGUGAGUGGGUGUCCCAAAAGACCUACACUUGCCAGGUCACCUAUCAAGGCUUCACCUUUGAGGACAACGCUCGCAAGUGCACAGAGUCUGACCCCCGAGGCGUGAGCACCUACCUGAGCCCGCCCAGCCCUCUUGACCUGUACGUCCACAAGUCGCCCAAGAUCACCUGCCUGGUGGUGGACCUGGCCAACACAGACGGCAUGAUCCUGACCUGGUCGCGGGAGAAUGGGGAGUCUGUGCACCCAGACCCGAUGGUCAAGAAGACUCAGUACAACGGGACAAUCACCGUCACUUCCACCCUGCCUGUGGAUGCCACUGACUGGGUCGAGGGGGAGACCUACCAAUGCAAGGUGACCCAUCCGGACCUGCCCAAGGACAUCGUGCGCUCCAUUGCCAAAGCCCCGGGCCGGCGUUUCCCCCCGGAGGUGUACGUGUUCCUGCCGCCCGAGGGGGAGCCGAAGACCAAGGACAAAGUCACUCUCACAUGCCUGAUCCAGAACUUCUUUCCCCCGGACAUCUCGGUGCAAUGGCUUCACAACGACAGCCCUGUUCGGACGGAACAGCAGGCCACCACGUGGCCCCACAAGGCCACCGGCCCCAGCCCAGCCUUCUUUGUCUUCAGUCGCCUUGAGGUCAGCCGGGCAGACUGGGAGCAGAGGGAUGUGUUCACCUGCCAAGUGGUGCACGAGGCGCUGCCUGGCUCUAGGACGCUCAAGAAAUCCGUGUCCAAAAACCCUGAGCUGGAGCUCCAGGACCUGUGUGCGGACGCCGCUGAGAGCUACGAGCUGGACGAGCUAUGGACCGGCCUGCUGGUCUUCAUCACCCUCUUCCUGCUCAGCGUGAGCUACGGAGCCGCCAUCACCCUCUUCAAGGUGAAGUCGGUACUUGCCACCGUCCUGCAGAAGCCGCAGACCUUCCAGGACUACGCAAACGUACAGGCGGCGAAGUAGCCGGGAGCCAGAGCAAAGAGGGCUC